UGCCUCAUCUCUACUAUUCUUUCUUCUUAUCUAAUCCUUGAUCUCUGGUCUAUCAUGAAUUCAAACAUGUCUAUCUAUGAAUUUCAUAGACCUACGGGCACACAUCUCGAACCACCAAAAUCUUCAAAGCCUAUCAUAGCAUCUAGUUUUGAGAUAGACCCCGAAUACAUAGAAUUUGUUCAAAAACAACCUUUCUCAGAAGAAGGUGAGGAAAACCCAUACACCC
rnacentral:lncRNA from 1 species